UACGUAGGGGGCUAGCGUUGUCCGGAAUCAUUGGGCGUAAAGAGCGUGUAGGCGGUCCGGUAAGUCGGUUGUGAAAGUCGGGGGCUCAACCCUCGAAUGCCGGUGGAUACUGUCGGGCUAGAGUGCGGAAGAGGCGAGUGGAAUUCCUGGUGUAGCGGUGAAAUGCGCAGAUAUCAGGAGGAACACCUAUUGCGAAGGCAGCUCGCUGGGACGUAACUGACGCUGAGACGCGAAAGCGUGGGGAGCAAACAGG
rnacentral:rRNA from 1 species